UAAUAUGUUGGCAUAAUAACCUUGGCUGG
rnacentral:piRNA from 1 species